UGUGUGUGUGUCUGUGUGGCCGGUGGGUUUAGGGAACAACAGAGUCAGUUAUGUUAGGUUGUUGUUUUGUUCCCGUUGAAGGUGCUUCUUGUCUGGGUCUCCGGCUCCUUCGGGUAGCACGUGAGGCAAAACAGUCUCCCGCUGUCCUUCUGGAUAAGCAUCCCGUCUCCUGUUUUCGAUGGCUGGACGGAUACCUCUUGAUCCAGUACGCAAGAAGGAAGGGGGACACCGCGGAUCUGUUGCUGUUGUCGGUCCAUUCUGUUUUGAAGCAGGGGUUGACGACCACACCUUAGCUUGACGAGAAAGGUCUGGUCGCUGCAGGAUCCUAUUCCGCUGCCCUUUGUUCGGCGCAUGUCCCGUGUAAUUUUUCUCUUUUAUUAAUUCAUUAUAUAUUCUUCAACGGUUCUUGUUUUACUCUUUGUAUUUAGCACAGGCGUUGCUGUUUUCCAUGGGAUGCUCUGGGCCCGGGAAGGUCAUUGUCACUUCGGAAGCUUUGUCAGCCAGAUCGUUCCCACAGGGAAUUGGCGUAUUCGAGCUUGUCUGGAGAGACUUGGUCAACAUCUGGAACAUACAACUGAAAUAUCCACUGCCUUUCCUGAACAUAUGUGGUAGUGGCAGUUUUACAUACAUUUAUUCUUCAAAGUACAAAUACACAUUAUAACUUUUUUUUAAAGUUGAAACGUUUUGCGUUUACCUCAAUUUCGGUUGAAAUCUUUAAAUCUUAAUGAUUCUCGAACACGUGCGUUGAUUUUCUUCAAACUGAUAAAUUUAACGUUCCCUUGGUUGAAUAAUGUUUUUGUUUCAGAAUUUGUUGAAAUUUGCCGAAGAUAACCGAGUUAGUUAUCAUCCAUUAAAAAUUAUGGUUCCUCUUUUUUUCAGAGACCUGAUAUUAGCGUGCGCCCAAUUCUCUUGCAUGGUCCAUCAUGACGUUCAAAUUCCCUCCGCAGGUGCUAUUACCUCUGGCUAAAUAUGGGAGGAUCAAGGUCGAUUCCUCCCCGUUUUCCGACGGUCUUUUGUCGAAGCAUUUUAGCGCCCUCCUCUCGUGUGGGAGAAGCAUGAUUUUUCUACUUUUUUUCUCCAACCGUGUUGGUGCAGCCUACUAUGUAAUCCAUUGCCACAAGGUAGGAAGAUCAUGGGGAAGAUGUAGUGCUGUUUGUCUUAGAACGGAGACAGUUGCCACUUGAUGACGAACUUGAUGCUUGGGACUCUUGUUUCGGCAUGCUGUGCUUGAAUAAUUUGGCUUGGCCUGUGAUCAACCUCAGAGGCAUUUAUUUUGAGCAACAUUCAGACGAUUGAUGUGGGUGUCUGAGAGCCAAGGCUGCCAGCUGCUGCUACUUGUACUAGCAAAGUUGAAUAAACGAGGGCGAGAUAGGUCCUGUCUUCCUGAGCUUUGCUUUUUUCGGCCCUAGAUCUAGUCGAGUAUGAUACUGCACUGCUGAGCAUCCGCAUACGUCACAGAUUGGAGGAAUAUGAUUUUUGGAUCUGGCUUCGAUGUUUCCUGCCGAUGAUGAGCUAGCUGGGAUAAAACGUCUGUUUAUGACCCCUUCUUUCAAACACGCAGCAUGGGAUUUAUUGAAAUGUUAAGUAGACGGCCCGCGGUUGGUAUGGUUGGUGAAAAUGUUAGGGACGACAUGGGGCCUUGAGGGGGAGGGGGUGACAUGUGGAGAAGCUGUCUCUCUGGUGACGGUGGCGGUGGCGGCUGAUUUAAAAAAAAAAAAUUUUACUAUUGGUUUGAUGUGUGGAACUCUAAAGUGUCACACGCGUUCUAGUACACGAAGAGAAUGAAGCCAGUGGUCCCGU
rnacentral:lncRNA from 1 species